UUGAAGAGACGAUAGUCAAACAAUACCCAAUAAUUGUUGCAAUAGUACUACUCAUCAUUGUUUUCCCAGUACUAACGGUUUCGUCUAUCAUUUAAUGCGAAGAAUAGUGAACUUGGAAAUGGCUUAAUAAAUGAUAGAGAGAAAAGUAAACUAAGAGAAGCUGUCGCUUGAAUUUUGGUUCAACUCAGCAAUUUUUCAUACAUGCACAGGGUCACAGAAUUAGCGAAAAUUUUUGCAGCUUUGCUUCAGCCGUUCAAUUUUUAAUUAUAACAUACUUUAUUUACUAUUAUUUCUAUCCAACAAAUUUUUCCAAAACUUUGGAAUUCCUGCAGAUUUACUUUUUUAAAUUAGUACCAAAUAAAGAGACUCGAUCAAGAGCCACCAUUGUAGGGCAGCAGCAGCGCAUGGUCCGCACAUUAUUGGUGAAGCUUGCCAAACUUAAAAACUA